UAGAAAUGAAACGUGUAUUCGUUUAUAAAUAUAUCUAGUUUUCUAAGAAAUAAAUUUAAUUUAUUUUUAAUUUUUAAAUAGUUUUAUUAAAAAGUUUAUUUAAAGUUAAAAAAAAUAUUUUAAGGGAUGAGCUUUAAAAUAAAUUAUUUAUAACAAUAGUUAAUUUUUACAAUUAAGUAGAAUUAGAAUUGUUUAUCUUUAGGAGGAUGUUAUAAUUUAAUUUGGAUUUAUUUUUGUUUAUAUGAUUGUUUAAAUUUUUUAUUAGAAUUUUUUAUUUAAUUAUUUUAUUUUAGUAAUAAUGAUAGAAUUAGUAUAAUUUAAUGUGGUAAAGGAAAUAUUUUAAGGUUGGUAAAAGGAACUUGGCUAAUAAUUUUUUACCUGUUUAUUAAAAACAUGUCCUUUUGAUUAUUAUUUAAGGUCUAGCCUGCUCACUGAAUAAUUAAAGAGCCGCGGUAUCCU
rnacentral:rRNA from 1 species